CCUACGGGUGACAGCAGUCGAGAAUCAUUCACAAUGGGGGAAACCCUGAUGGUGCGACGCCGCGUGGGGGAAUGAAGGUCUUCGGAUUGUAAACCCCUGUCAUGUGGGAGCAAAUUAAAAAGAUAGUACCACACGAGGAAGAGACGGCUAACUCUGUGCCAGCAGCCGCGGUAAUACAGAGGUCUCAAGCGUUGUUCGGAAUCACUGGGCGUAAAGCGUGCGUAGGCUGUUUCGUAAGUCGUGUGUGAAAGGCGCGGGCUCAACCCGCGGACGGCACAUGAUACUGCGAGACUAGAGUAAUGGAGGGGGAACCGGAAUUCUCGGUGUAGCAGUGAGAUGCGUAGAUAUCGAGAGGAACACUCGUGGCGAAGGCGGGUUCCUGGACAUUAACUGACGCUGAGGCACGAAGGCCAGGGGAGCGAAAGGGAUUAGAUACCCCUGUAGUC
rnacentral:rRNA from 1 species